rnacentral:tRNA from 1 species
GGGGCUGUGGCUCAGCAGUAGAGUGCUCGUCUCCCAUGUGUGAGGCCCUGGGUUCGAUUCUCAGCACCACA